rnacentral:rRNA from 1 species
GAGUUUGAUCCUGGCUCAGGACGAACGCUGGCGGCGUGCUUAACACAUGCAAGUCGAACGGGGCUGGAUCACCUCCUU